rnacentral:tRNA from 1 species
CGUGAUCUGGGCGAUGGAUCGCGCGCCGAUGGGGCCGGUGUCGGCGCUGCGCGAGACGAGCGUGGUGUUCGCGGCGCUGAUCGCGC